UGUCCUUUUGAGUAUAAUUUAAGGUCUAAUCUGCCCACUGAGGAAUUAAAUGGCCGCGGUAUUUUGACCGUGCGAAGGUAGCAUAAUCAUUAGUUUUUUAAUUGAAAGCUGGAAUGAAAGAUUGGAUGAGAAAAUAGCUGUCUCAAAUUAAUUUAUUUAGAAUUUUAUUUUUAAGUUAAAAAGCUUAAAUUUAAUUAAAAGACGAGAAGACCCUAUAGAGUUUAAUAUUUUAUUUAAAUUAAAAUUUAUUGAUUAAAAUUUUUUGAUUAAAAUAGAAUAUUUUGUUGGGGUGAUAGGAAAAUUAAAAAAACUUUUCUUAAAUUUAUAUACUAAUGAGUAAAUAUUUGAUCCAAAAUUUUUGAUUAAAAGAUUAAAUUACCUUAGGGAUAACAGCAUAAUUUUUUUUGAGAGUUCUUAUCGAAAAAAAAGAUUGUGACCUCGAUGUUGGAUUAAAGUUAAGUUUUGGUGUAGAAGCUAAAAUUUUAGGUCUGUUCGACCUUUAAAACUUU
rnacentral:rRNA from 1 species